rfam:Canis lupus familiaris chromosome 1, whole genome shotgun sequence.
CGGGGGAGGCCGGAUCCUGGGCUGUGUCCCGGCGCCCUGUGCUCCGGAGCCUGCGCUGUUGGAUUCGCGCUCCCGCCCCGCAGCCCCCU